GAAUAUUAGAGAAAAUCGAUAAAGAAAAUAAAAUUGGCUAUCUUAUGGGGGACUUUAAUAUUGAUCUACUUAAAUCGGAAUCUUGUGAUUAUGCAGGCCAAUUUACCGAACAACUUUUCACAUCUUCUUAGGGACGGACCAUUAGAAAAGUGAUGGGGGGGGGGGGCAAAACCAAAAAAAAAAUUUAUUUCCAGAAAAAAAUUAAGAAAAAAAAAAUCUUCCCACGCAUAGAGCAAAAAAAAAUAUUCCUUGCUUAGAAGAUAGGCCAAGUGGUGUAGUGGAGGGAGGGCUCGAGGGUGCUUAGCACCCCUUGUUAAAAUUUCAUGUUGACUUGGAGGGGCUGAGCCCCCUAUGUUUUUGGCGCGUUGCAUAAUCUUAACAACGUCAAAAACACACACAAAAAUAUCAGUAAACGAGAAUGUUCUUUAGAAUUGUAUCUCAUUUUCAGUCAUCACUUAACACAAUAAUGAUUUUGGUAAUCUUUAUACCGCGUUGUUCAUGCGCCGUAGCAAAUUGGCUGUUGAAAUACCGAUCCUGUUUUGUCUGAUUUAAACUCUAUCCAGGGCUGUAUCAACGGGAGGGGCUUGGGGCUGCAGCCCCCCCCCCCCAUAAUUUGCUAAUAAUCAUUCUUUUGACAAAAUCAUGUGUCCUCUAGCGUUCGUCAGCAGGGUGAAGAGACAUUUUGCCUGAGAGAGCAGGCAGCACUCGUUCCUACCGCGGGCAAGGCACAGGUUAGCUCACCGCCCCCCAUUGCAAGUAUAGGCUGCCAAGGUUUGGUCAGUCCCCUCGGCGCAUAGACCUAUAUAAAGUUUACGUCAUUACUAUACGGUCAGAAGCUCAAACAUUGUAGAGUCUUUACCAUAUGUGCCAAGGACAAAUCUUUAGCUACUCGAUACAUUUAAAUAAUAUAUCUUUAAAACACUGACAGUUGAUUAAUUGUAAGCUGCUACAUUAUCCAUGACAAAUUGCAAAGAAUGAAGAUAUUACCCAUAAUUUCCUGCAAUUUAUCCAAUAUAUAGUUAACUAAAUACGCCUUCGCCCAUUUAAUACUACUAAAUUGUAAAUUUCGACAUACUAAAACGCUGUUUUCUGACCAUCAGAAUUCUGUCAAAUCUUACCCAAAGUCCAGGAAAUGGCAUUUCAGAGACUCUAAAUUUAAAAAUUUCCUCGGGCCUUCGGCCCUCGCUUUCAGUCCCUUUGUUUUUAAUAAGAAUAACGUUGAAUGUUUGUCCCACAAUUUCUAGAAUAAACCCCAACAAAAUUUAGAAUUUCCAAAAUAUCUUAUUGUACACCCCUCCCGCCAAUUCAGGACACUUUGGAGAGCCCCCUUGUUAACAUUCCAGAACUACACCACUGAUAGGCCUAUAAAUUUCACUUAAAAAAAAUAUAUUUCCAACCAUCAAGUGAGAAAAAAAAUAUAUUUCUUCUAUAGGUG